GACGAACGCUGGCGGCGUGCCUAAUACAUGCAAGUAGAACGCUGAAGGAGGAGCUUGCUUCUCUGGAUGAGUUGCGAACGGGUGAGUAACGCGUAGGUAACCUGCCUGGUAGCGGGGGAUAACUAUUGGAAACGAUAGCUAAUACCGCAUAAUAGUAGAUGUUGCAUGACAUUUGCUUAAAAGGUGCAAUUGCAUCACUACCAGAUGGACCUGCGUUGUAUUAGCUAGUUGGUGGGGUAACGGCUCACCAAGGCGACGAUACAUAGCCGACCUGAGAGGGUGAUCGGCCACACUGGGACUGAGACACGGCCCAGACUCCUACGGGAGGCAGCAGUAGGGAAUCUUCGGCAAUGGACGGAAGUCUGACCGAGCAACGCCGCGUGAGUGAAGAAGGUUUUCGGAUCGUAAAGCUCUGUUGUAAGAGAAGAACGAGUGUGAGAGUGGAAAGUUCACACUGUGACGGUAUCUUACCAGAAAGAGACGGCUAACUACGUG
rnacentral:rRNA from 1 species